UAAACCAAUAUUAGAGGGUAUGUCAUAAUUUAUGUACAACUUCCUAGAUCAAAGGUCAAGGUCAAAAACUUUGGUUUCAGUUGACAACCCCAUGUCCUAUGGUAAAGAUCAUGUCCGCUCUAUAUCUUGAGAACCGUUAUCAUUUCAAAGUUUAUACUUGACAUGUAUAUAAACCAACACCAAAGGGUGUGUCAUAAUUUAUGUGCAA
rnacentral:lncRNA from 1 species